CACGUAGGAGGCAAACGUUAUCCGGAUUUACUGGGCGUAAAGCGCGUGUAGGUGGUUCUGUAAGUAGGGCGUGAAAGCUCCUGGCUCAACUGGGAGAGGCCGUUCUAAACUGCAGAGCUAGAGGAUGGUAGAGGGAGGUGGAAUUCCGGGUGUAGCGGUGGAAUGCGCAGAUAUCCGGAGGAACACCAGUGGCGAAAGCGGCCUCCUGGACCAUUCCUGACACUCAGACGCGAAAGCUAGGGUAGCAAACGGGAUUAGAGACCCCGGUAGUCCUAGCCCUAAACGAUGUAGACUUGGCGUCGGUGGCUUAAUCGUCAUCGGUGUCGUAGCUAACGCGAUAAGUCUACCGCCUGGGGACUACGGCCGCAAGGUUA
rnacentral:rRNA from 1 species